rnacentral:tRNA from 1 species
UAGCUCAGUUGGUAGAGCAGGGGAUUGAAAAUCCCCGUGUCGGCGGUUCGAUUCCGUC